rnacentral:rRNA from 1 species
AUUGAACGCUGGCGGCAGGCCUAACACAUGCAAGUCGAGCGGAUGAAGGGAGCUUGCUCCUGGAUUCAGCGGCGGACGGGUGAGUAAUGCCUAGGAAUCUGCCUGGUAGUGGGGGAUAACGUCCGGAAACGGGCGCUAAUACCGCAUACGUCCUGAGGGAGAAAGUGGGGGAUCUUCGGACCUCACGCUAUCAGAUGAGCCUAGGUCGGAUUAGCUAGUUGGUGGGGUAAAGGCCUACCAAGGCGACGAUCCGUAACUGGUCUGAGAGGAUGAUCAGUCACACUGGAACUGAGACACGGUCCAGACUCCUACGGGAGGCAGCAGUGGGGAAUAUUGGACAAUGGGCGAAAGCCUGAUCCAGACAUGCCGCGUGUGUGAAGAAGGUCUUCGGAUUGUAAAGCACUUUAAGUUGGGAGGAAGGGCAGUAAGUUAAUACCUUGCUGUCUUGACGUUACCAACAGAAUAAGCAACGGCUAACUUCGUG